GAAUUUUUCUUUUUCUUCUUUCUUCUUCUUUCUUCUUCUUUUUUCUUCUUCACCAAAUCCCGUACAUUAUCA
rnacentral:ribozyme from 14 species